rnacentral:rRNA from 1 species
UACGUAGGGGGCAAGCGUUGUUCGGAAUUACUGGGCGUAAAGGGCGCGUAGGCGGCACAGCAAGUCGGGAGUGAAAGCCCGGGGCUCAACCCCGGGAAUGGCUUUCGAAACUGCUGAGCUAGAGUACAGAAGGGGCAACCGGAAUUCCCAGUGUAGCGGUGAAAUGCGUAGAUAUUGGGAAGAACACCUGAGGCGAAGGCGGGUUGCUGGGCUGAUGACUGACGCUGAGGCGCGAAAGCGUGGGGAGCGAACAGG